rnacentral:rRNA from 1 species
GUGGGGAAUUUUGGACAAUGGGGGCAACCCUGAUCCAGCCAUUCCGCGUGAGUGAAGAAGGCCUUCGGGUUGUAAAGCUCUUUCGGCAGGAACGAAAAGGUAGGCUCUAACAUAGUCUGCUCAUGACGGUACCUGAAGAAGAAGCACCGGCUAACUACGUGCCAGCAGCCGCGGUAAUACGUAGGGUGCGAGCGUUAAUCGGAAUUACUGGGCGUAAAGCGUGCGCAGGCGGUUUUGUAAGACAGAUGUGAAAUCCCCGGGCUUAACCUGGGAACUGCGUUUGUGACUGCAAAGCUGGAGUGCGGCAGAGGGGGAUGGAAUUCCGCGUGUAGCAGUGAAAUGCGUAGAUAUGCGGAGGAACACCGAUGGCGAAGGCAAUCCCCUGGGCCUGCACUGACGCUCAUGCACGAAAGCGUGGGGAGCAAACAGGAUUAGAUACCCGGGUAGUCC